CCGACGGUGAGGGGUGAAAGCUAGGGGCACGAACCGGAUUAGAUACCCGGGUAGUCCUAGCCGUAAACGAUACUCGCUAGGUGUCGGCAACGGUGCGACCGUUGUCGGUGCCGUAGGGAAGCCGUGAAGCGAGCCACCUGGGAAGUACGGCCGCAAGGCUGAAACUUAAAGGAAUUGGCGGGGGAGCACCACAACGGGUGGAGCUUGCGGUUUAAUUGGAUUCAACGCCGGAAAUCUUACCGGGACCGACAGCAAUAUGAAGGCCAGGCUGAAGACUUUGCCGGAUUAGCUGAGAGGUGGUGCAUGGCCGUCGUCAGUUCGUACUGUGAAGCAUCCUGUUAAGUCAGGCAACGAGCGAGACCCACGCCCACAGUUGCC
rnacentral:rRNA from 1 species